rnacentral:misc_RNA from 1 species
GAAAAACUUCCAAUGGAUGUUAGAAAUCAUUAAGAGCAAAGUAGAAAAUCGUCGAUGGUGUUAUUCGAUGUCCCUUUCACGCCUUUCAGGACAGUCUCUUGAUCUAUACCCUGUUAUCCACUAUCGCAACUUUGCCUUACCAUGCACCAUUGACUCUAUAACUUGCAUGCUUAAAACAAACAAAGUUGAACAACACCAAGAAAACCAGAGAACAAGUCGCUCAUGAAAC